rnacentral:rRNA from 1 species
GACAGAGGGUGCUAGCGUUGUUCGGAAUUACUGGGCGUAAAGGGUGCGUAGGCGGCGCGGUAAGUCGGGUGUGAAAUCUCGGAGCUUAACUCCGAAACUGCAUUCGAUACUGCCGUGCUUGAGGACUGGAGAGGAGACUGGAAUUUACGGUGUAGCGGUGAAAUGCGUAGAUAUCGUAAGGAAGACCAGUGGCGAAGGCGGGUCUCUGGACAGUUCCUGACGCUGAGGCACGAAGGUCAGGGGAGCAAACGGG